UUACAAAAUGGCGAGAAUUCUUCCAACUGGCUAGUAACCAUUUGACGAUAUGCGUUAAUGACGACAACUUGCGAGUGAAUUAAAAGUGCAGUUAUGCUUGUAUUUGAACUUAGAAAUUGACUGUAUACGAUUGAAACCAGACAUUGCAGCUUUAAAUGUAUUUGAACACUUAAAAUUCAAUAUUUUCGCAGGGAAGUAUGCCCGGGCCCACAAAUGCAUGUAGUUUGAUCCACAGACAUUCGCCCCAACCCCGACCCCAUUUUCAAAUACCCUGUGUAAGUCUUAAAAAGUACCCCCCCCCCCCCCCCCCAAUUACCUGUUAAAUAUAUAUUCGUCUGAUAUAAUUAUAUACAUGACUCAAAGACAGUGUGGGUGCCCUCCCCACAUAUGGGUACCCCUCAAUAUAAAAUCAUAGCUAAGCUCGUGCCAAAAUUCACUAGUAAUAUAUAUUAUCUACAGGGUAAUUAUCAAGCUGAGCAAGAUAUUACGUUCUCCACUAAAAAAAACCAAUAAAUGCAUUAUAUUCACCUGCUAAACAUUUCUUUUUUUCCGGGGCACUUCAAAUUUCGAGGAGGGGUUGCAGUGCUCUCUCCUUAUAGGCCUAUCUGCUCCUGUAAUGGCAGAUGAAUUAGUAUUCCCGACAUGUUUCCCCGUAUAGGCUAAUCGAAGCAAGUAGUCCAAGGCGGACCCAUUAAAUUGCAAAAACCCACACAUUUGCUACGUCCGAUUCGGACUACAAAGCAAGGUGAAAUGUACCCACUAGAAUUAAUUUGUAAAACUUCUUUCCGACCAUGGUGACAUCUUAUCAUGAAGGCGUGGUAAUGGGGGCGUGAUACAAGCUAGUUACCUCAUCCAUCACUUGAGAUUCGUCUUGUUAGACCACGGUUAUUGGGGCCGUUGAGUGACGGGUGUAAUAGAUCUCGGGCUACGCCCUCGAUCAUUACACCCGUCACUCGAGGUUUAUCUUGGUGAACUAGCUGAUGGAUGGCUGUCUUGUACGAAGUCGUUAACAACCACUCGAGUGUUCUCAUCUGAUAACCGGAAACAUCUAAAACAUGGCGAUGAUGAAAAACUUCGAGACUGAAGACCGAAUCAAAGCAACUAUUUAUGGGAACUGUGUAGGUGAUACUAUUGGACUGCUUACUGAAUUCCUUAGCAAAACGCCAUUUACAGGCUGGUGAUGCAGACACAAACUCUGCAGUAGCUGGGGCCCUGUUGGGGUGUAAACUUGGCCUGGAUGCGUUACCUAAGACCUGGGUGUGGAAACUGAAACAUCGUGCUUGGCUUGAUGAGAAGAUCAACAGGUAUGUCAGUGGUCUGCUGU